GAUGAACGCUGGCGGCGUGCCUAAUACAUGCAAGUCGAGCGAACAGAUGAGGAGCUUGCUCCUCUGACGUUAGCGGCGGACGGGUGAGUAACACGUGGAUAACCUACCUAUAAGACUGGGAUAACUUCGGGAAACCGGAGCUAAUACCGGAUAAUAUAUUGAACCGCAUGGUUCAAUAGUGAAAGACGGUUUUGCUGUCACUUAUAGAUGGAUCCGCGCCGCAUUAGCUAGUUGGUAAGGUAACGGCUUACCAAGGCAACGAUGCGUAGCCGACCUGAGAGGCGGAUCGGCCACACGGGAACUGAGACACGGUCCAGACUCCUACGGGAGGCAGCAGUAGGGAAUGUUACGCAAUGGGCGAAAGCCUGACGGAGCAACGCCGCGUGAGUGAUGAAGGUCUUCGGAUCGUAAAACUCUGUUAUUAGGGAAGAACAAAUGUGUAAGUAACUAUGCACGUCUUGACGGUACCUAAUCAGAAAGCCACGGCUAACUACGUG
rnacentral:rRNA from 1 species